AGCCAAAGGAAUAGUAACGCAGUGGAGAGCAGUCCAUGAUUUAAUGCACUGAAACCAACAGCCUCGGCCCCCAGCACACACACGCAGGCUGGGCAGCUCCUUCUCAGGGGCCCGCACUGCCUCCUUCUCCUUGGCAGGUGUCUUCUUGGGGUCACACAUUGGAACAGCCCUGUCUACAGCCUUGCUUGCUGCCCCUGCGGUGUGGAGACAGCAUCACUCUUGCCCAGGACGCCUGGCUGCCUCUCAGGGGUGAGGGGGUGAGACCUUGAUUUUGUGGGCCUAUAGCAGCCUCUUUCUAGUCAGAUAAAGGCUCAAAACCUCCUUCCUACCUUCCUCCCUUCCUCCCGGCCUGAGGCAGUCACCCUCAUAGCCCUGUAGAGUCUUCAGAGAAGUGGCAAUUCAAAGGCUGAAUGCUCCAUUAUGUGGCUCCGGCAAAUGGCUUGUCUCCCGUGGAGAGAUACAGAGGAGUGGGUCUUUGACAGGCUGGAGAUGCUCUGAUCCGCCCGCGGUGCUGUGGAGCACGCCGGUGCCUUGCGUGUGUUCUGGCCCAGAGCCUACUGGGCCACGAUUUGUGUAUCUUUUGUAAAGUGCCAUGCGUGAGCCGGAUCGGCCCUGACAUAAUUACUGGAAUAUUUUAAUAUGAAGAAGAGUCUCUGAGUCAUCUGCUCACACACCUCCACCGGGGCCCCAUCUUAGCCAGGACACUGGUCAGAGACAGAUUGUCUUCCUCUGAUGGGGAAGUGACAACUCAGCCUCCCCAGAGGGAGGGCUGAGCACAGAGAGACACCUGCAAGGAGAGAAGCAGCUUCAGGGAACCGCCCAGAAAAUAAAGGGCUCUUGGGAUCCUGCAGCUCCCAUUCUCAGGCCAGAGGGAGCAGUGCAACAAAGGGGGCCGGCCUCUGCUGACAUCAGCGAGACCCCAAAUAACAGGACCCUAGAAAGAAGCUUUGUCAGACCAAAUCUGGGGAGGCAGAGGGGAGGAGGAAGGAAAGCCCUCGGGAAGCCACGCUCUCACUCCUCUCCAUGGGGCUCUGGGAUGGAGACGUGAGAAAAAGGUAACUGAAGUCUGAGUUGACAAAGCCUGAGACAGAGGAAAUGUACAGUUGUAAUGAAAUAAAGCUUACAGUCAACUUCAUCUGACACACAUAGAAUGAUAGGCAGAAUCUUUACUGUGCUGUUGCCUCUCAGUCCUAAAUGACCAUCGGUUCACUCACAUAACCGCAGUUAGUGUGCCUCUCACAGGGGCACACUCUGCACUUCUGGGGUCUGUGGAGGCGAGCCCAGUCCUGCCGCACAGCUGCUGUUCUCCAGAUCCUCGAGGCCGAGGCCCUUCCACUCUCUGGGGAGAGGAUGCCCCAGCAUGGAAACGAAAAGUGAUAAUAAAGAAAGAAAAGAAGAAAAGUGUCACAGUGGAAAAGACCAAGCAGAUCAAGAGGAAUAAAAGACAAACCACAGACUGGGAGAAAAUAUUUGCAGAAGAUAUACACGACAAAGGACUCUUGUCUAAAAUAUACAAAGAACUCUUAAAACUCAACACAAACAAAAUAAACAAUUUGAUUAAAAC
ensembl:lncRNA novel trasncript